AAGGAAUAUUGGUCAAUGGGGGCAACCCUGAACCAGCCAAGUAGCGUGAAGGAUGACUGCCCUAUGGGUUGUAAACUUCUUUUAUAAGGGAAUAAAGUGAGGGACGUGUCCCUUUUUGUAUGUACCUUAUGAAUAAGGAUCGGCUAACUCCGUGCCAGCAGCCGCGGUAAUACGGAGGAUCCGAGCGUUAUCCGGAUUUAUUGGGUUUAAAGGGAGCGUAGGUUGACAUAUAAGUCAGCUGUGAAAGUUUACGGCUCAACCGUGAAAUUGCAGUUGAUACUGUAUGUCUUGAGUGUACAAGAGGUGGGCGGAAUUCGUGGUGUAGCGGUGAAAUGCUUAGAUAUCAUGAAGAACUCCAAUUGCGAAGGCAGCUCACUGGGGUACAACUGACACUGAGGCUCGAAAGUGUGGGUAUCAAAC
rnacentral:rRNA from 1 species